CUACGGGUCGCACCAGUGAGGAAUAUUGCACAAUGGGGGAAACCCUGAUGCAGCAACGCCGCGUGGAGGAUGACGCAUUUCGGUGUGUAAACUCCUUUUAUAUAGGAAGAUAAUGACGGUACUAUAUGAAUAAGCACCGGCUAACUCCGUGCCGGCAGCCGCGGUAAUACGGAGGGUGCAAGCGUUACUCGGAAUCACUGGGCGUAAAGCGCGCGCAGGCGGCCUUUUAAGUUGGAUGUGAAAGCCUACGGCUCAACCGUAGAACUGCAUCCAAAACUACUAGGCUAGAGUCUGGGAGGGGAAGAUGGAAUUAGUUGUGUAGGGGUAAAAUCCGUAGAGAUAACUAGGAAUACCAAAAGCGAAGGCAAUCUUCUGGAACAGUACUGACGCUGAGGCGCGAAAGCGUGGGGAGCAAACAGGAUUAGAUACCCCCGUAGUC
rnacentral:rRNA from 1 species